rnacentral:lncRNA from 1 species
CAAGAACAGACUUCUCACCAGGUCAGGAGCUACAGAGAUGGAGUGAUGGUCACAAAGGUCUGCCUGAAGGAAAUGGGUAGUGACAAAAGGGACAGGUUUGCGGCCUCCAAAGCCUGUUGCAAAGCUCAGGAGCAGAGUAUUCUUUAUCAGAACCCUGUAGUGAUAAAAUGGUCAUCUUUGGGUCUAAAAUACCUACAACCACUUGUAUGUUCUACUCAGAAGUAUCCUGUCACUGGAGUUUGUAAGAUUGUACUGCUGCCAAGGCCCAAAGGAGAACUGAGAGAUUAAGGGGGAAGGAAGCUGUUCUAUCUAGAAGGAGAGGGAUUUGAGCUCCCUGCAGACUGUGCAUAUGCACAACUUUGCACUCAACACAGAGCUAAAAAUUAAACUGGGCCAAGCCAUUUCCAGGAUAUAUCCCUAAAGCCCUAUGUUGAAAAGGAGGUGCUGAUUGCACUUUAAAUCAAAGGUCUUCUGGGGCAGAUCAUCUUGGGAGCCAAGGACGGCUUCAAGUCCCAGGCUGCCCUGAGCUGAAAGCAAGGGAACACACUGGGCUGGGAGUAUCCAUGGUGAAAUCACCAUGUGCCUUGAGCAGCUGACAGGCACACAGCCCUGUGAGCCUGGAGCUGUUGGAGCUGCACUCCAGGAGCCAGCUCUAGCACCAGGGCUUGGCUGCUGGUCUGAACCCAGGGCAGAAAGGACACACAGAGUCCACGUUGGGUGUGAGGACAAAACACCAUCCCCUGGAAAACUUAGGAGAUGCUCGUGCUGCAAGUCCAUGCCUGCAGUUGAUGGUCCCCAUCAAGCCCAGCACAGAGGAGGCCGUGGUCAUACCUGCAUCAAGAGGAAAUGUGAAGGAAACACAGUAUCCACACCUCAUUCCAGAGAGGGAUAAACACAUAUGGUUUGUUUGAAACUGCAACACCAGGUUUAAGGCAAAUGUAACAACAUUAUGCAAUCCUCUUCAAAUACUCUUCUUAUUGCUAUUAAACUUUAUUAAUAUAAGAAUAUAAGUGCUUCAAGGCACUCCUUUUUAGACUUCAAUAAAGUCCUCUUGUAUUAACA